UAGAGUUUUGAUCCUGGCUCAGGACGAACGCUGGCGGCGUGCCUAAUACAUGCAAGUCGAGCGGACAUAGAGUUUGAUCCUGGCUCAGAACGAACGCUGACGGCAGGCUUAACACAUGCAAGUCGAGCGCCCCGCAAGGGGAGCGGCAGACGGGUGAGUAACGCGUGGGAAUCUACCCAUCCCUACGGAACAACUCCGGGAAACUGGAGCUAAUACCGUAUACGCCCUUUGGGGGAAAGAUUUAUCGGGGAUGGAUGAGCCCGCGUUGGAUUAGCUAGUUGGUGGGGUAAAGGCCUACCAAGGGGACGAUCCAUAGCUGGUAUGAGAGGAUGAUCAGCCACAUUGGGACUGAGACCCGGCCCAAAUUCCUACCGGAGGCAGCAGUUGGGAAUAUUGGACAAUGGGCGCAAGCCUGAUCCAGCCAUGUCGCGUGAGUGAUGAAGGCCUUAGGGUUGUAAAGCUCUUUCACCGGAGAAGAUAAUGACGGUAUCCGGACAAGAAGCCCCGGCUAACUUCGUGCCAGCAGCCGCGGUAAUACGAAGGGGGCUAGCGUUGUUCGGAAUUAUUGGGCGUAAAGCGCACGUAGGCGGACAUUUAAGUCAGGGGUGAAAUCCCGGGGCUCAACCUCGGAACUGCCUUUGAAACUGGGUGUCUUGAGUGCGGAAGAGGUAAGUGGAAUUGCGAGUGUAGAGGUGAAAUUCGUAGAUAUUCGCAGGAACACCAGUGGCGAAGGCGGCUUUCGGUCCACAACGACGCGAGGUGGAAAGCGGAGCACCC
rnacentral:rRNA from 1 species